rnacentral:rRNA from 1 species
GAUGAACGCUAGCUACAGGCUUAACACAUGCAAGUCGAGGGACCGGCGCACGGGUGAGUAACACGUAUCCAACCUGCCCUUUACUCGGGGAUAGCCUUUCGACAGCAAGAUUAAUACCCGAUGUAAAGGAUCGGGAUGCGUUCCAUUAGGUUGUUGGUGAGGUAACGGCUCACCAAGCCUUCGAUGGAUAGGGGUUCUGAGAGCAAGGACCCCCACAUUGGAACUGGGACACGAUCCAAACUCCUACCAGAGGCAGCAGUUAGUAAUAAUUGGCAGUAAGCGUUAGGCUGAACCAGCCCAUUAGCGUGAAGGAUGAACGCUUAUAGGUCGUAGACUUCUUUUACAUAAGAACAGGUAUUAGAUUAAUAAGGAACGGCUAACUCCGUGCCAGCAGCCGCGGUAAUUC